CCCUUUCUCUCCCCCUUCCCUUUCUUUCUGCUUUCACUUAAAGUCAGAACUCACAGGAAAUCAAUUGCAUAUAACUUAGCACAAAAAUAUGCCCAUUUAUAUUUGAGGAAUAAAAUUCUUGUACCUGCCAGCAAUAUAAUUCUAAGUUGAACAUCAGCAAUAGAGCAGUAAGAUUAUGUUGCUGGAAUAAUUUCCCGGGUCCUGCACUUCAUAGCUGAGCUGAAAGAGAACAUGAGCUUACUCUGCCAUCUUUUGAAACUAUUCUUCUGAGAGCCACAUGAUGAACUUGAGCUAACAAGGAAGAAUUAAGAAGUCUAAACCAGUUGAACUUUAGUUGAUAAUAACUUACUCACAUCUUGAUGGAAAAUAUUGGUUAGAGCUACUCACAUGCUGUGGAACUACAGAAGAUAGUUAUUUUUUGCGAAGUGACUUUAUGAAAUGGGAAGUGGGAGUGGCUUUACUCUGAUGAAGCAGGGAAACUUCACCCAGAGAAGUAGAUACUGAGGUGGCCAUUAUGAACAUGGGGGACCAGAGUGGCCAGACUGGGUUGCAUCAGUAGUCAAAAGUCUUAAAUUGGGCAAUUGAUCAGAAACAUGCUGGAACAUUUGUGUGUUGUAACCUUGAUAGACUUACAAUUUCAUUGUCUUUCUUUUCUCGAGACCAAGAUUGAAGAUCAGCACAAGAACUGUUUGUUUUUGGAGACAGGAGAGCUGCAGCACUAUGGCAAAACUGAAGACUGGAGAAGAGCAAAUGAAGAAUGAAAGGAAUAGGAGGAGUGUCGAAAAAACUUUGUAAGCUGGAUAAAGAGGAGGAGUAGAAGAAAGACAAAAAGAAAACUUCACAGGGUCAGAGAGAAUCUGAUAAACUUCGACAAAAGCUUCAACACACUCGGAAGGUGUUUUCUAAACCUUCUAGCCUUGUGGCAUUUUCCCAUCUAUAGUCCAGAGGUGAAAUGAUUUAUGAAUACACAUGCUUACACAGUUCUCUGUGAGCAUUUUGAUAAGGUAAAUAUAUCACUCAGCAGGAAGCUUCACUGCAUGCUAGUCUUCUUCCUCAGAGAGAAAUUCUGUGUUGUGGGCCCUAGCUAGCCCUUUCUGACAUACAUAGGGCAUGAAGUUUUGUUCUUCAUUAAAAAAAGUCCCAUCGAGAUGUUUAAACACAGAUCUCCCUGUAAGGGUGAACACCCUGAAUUGCCCUCCAUCCAGUUCUUCUCCAUUUAAUUGGUAUAAAGCAGUUUCCCCUUGGCUACUUCUUCCCUUGAAAUUACACAAGUAGCCUCACUAGAAAGGCAUAGGUAAAUAUUUUAUACUGUGCACCAUGUGGAUUAGGAGCACAGCUCCCAUUAACCAGAGCUGGAAUCAUGCAGCUGAUUUCCCCCUCACACUGUGCUUGAAGCAUACCCUACAGGAUGCGGAGGCUGAGCUCCCAAGUGCCACCUUAUGAAGAAGGUGUGGAGUACUUUCAUUUAAUACUGCAUGUGUUUCCAUUAGCAGAGUCAAUUGCUCUCCAUCCUCAGUUUUAAGACUCCCUGUUUCUCUCUAUUACAGCUUUAUUUCCAAACGCCAUCCAAUCCUCCCUAGUCCUUCCAUCUGAGCCUGUAAGGUUUUGACCAUAUAACACCACAACAUCUUGGCUUUCGUUUGGUUUAAACUUUUUGUUCACAAUUAUAGAUGUGCUGAACACUGAGCACUUCUAUUUCUCAUGAGCUUACUGCUCCUUAACAAAGCUCAUGGACCUAGAGUAUUGGCAAUUUGGGGUGGCAGCUUAGGGGGUGUCAGUGGAGCAGAGGCCAGCAUAUCCUGAAACCUGCAAAGCACAUGGGGAAAAAAUGUGGCUGCUACUUUGAUUGAGAGCAACUGUUCACACAGGCGUGGUUCCUACAGAGUAGAAAAUUUAUGUAUCUGUGUAAAUUCUAAGCUAAAACUAGAAUAUGUUCAUCCCAUAUGUAAAAAUAAAGUUGUGGUUAAUAUGCCAUGCGCUGUGGUCAAUUACUACUCUGUGAAGUGGUGGCUUAGCUACCUGUGCAGUGCAAUAUAGCAAUUGCCAGACACUGGCUUUCCUCACUUCCAUUUUUACUGCAUAGCUAUCUAGGAAAUUUACAAAAUAAAAUUCUAUCUAGUAUGCGCAAGUGGGGUUAUGUCACGGCAGGUCGUCAUAACAAAAUUGA